rnacentral:siRNA from 1 species
AGCAGUCGCGCCCACCACAACUA